rnacentral:rRNA from 1 species
CCUACGGGAGGCAGCAGUGGGGAAUAUUGCACAAUGGGGGAAACCCUGAUGCAGCGACGCCGCGUGAGUGAAGAAGUAUUUCGGUAUGUAAAGCUCUAUCAGCAGGGAAGAAAAUGACGGUACCUGACUAAGAAGCCCCGGCUAACUACGUGCCAGCAGCCGCGGUAAUACGUAGGGGGCAAGCGUUAUCCGGAUUUACUGGGUGUAAAGGGAGCGUAGACGGCCAGACAAGUCAGAAGUGAAAGCCCAGGACUCAACCCUGGGACUGCUUUUGAAACUGCCGGGCUGGAGUGCAGGAGAGGUAAGCGGAAUUACUGGUGUAGCGGUGAAAUGCGUAGAUAUUAGGAGGAACACCAGUGGCGAAGGCGGCUUACUGGACUGUAACUGACGUUGAGGCUCGAAAGCGUGGGGAGCAAACAGGAUUAGAUACCCUAGUAGUC